rnacentral:lncRNA from 1 species
UUCCAUUCUGCUGGGUUGCCACCACAUACUGCUAGAUAUCACUAGUGGAUUGUGAGACUCGAAGGCAUUCACUUGAUGAUCAGUGAACCCUGAGAGUAGAACUGAAAUCGUUUCAAUCCACUGAAAGGAGUUUCAAUGAUAUUGAGAUGGAGAUCUCAAUAUGUCUCACUACCAGUCAAAAUAGAAUCUAUGGGGUCACACACAUAGAGGAUUUAAUUAGUUAGACUAUCAUAAUUAUGAUUUGGAAUCACAAUAGAAAUCAAUCAUCAAUAUGAUUGGUGAUUGAAUUAACCCACUAA